GCACAGAUCCUUUCUGCCUUUUCCUACUUUCAACUGCUUUAUUGGGUGCUUUAUCUCAACCACUUAAUUUUUUUUUAUUUUGAAGGCUGCAGUCCAGCUCAUCUUGAAAUGGAAUGCCCUCUUCCAAACGGGCAGGGCUGAGGGAAUAAUUUCUUUCUCAAGGGAGGAAAAGUGGGAUUUGUCAGUGAUGCAAACCAGACAGGAAGGGAAGAAAGAAAACUGGUCAUUCACAAAAGGGUACUAAGACAUCUUCACGGGCCCUUGGAAAUCUUGAAGGCCCAGGCAAUUGUACUCAUGGUGCAUUGAUGGAUUAGACAACCUGCUCAGAUGGAGAGCUUGUGGUUUGACACAAGUUGAAACAAUGGAAUAUUGGCAAGUACACUGGACACAGUGAAAGGAAAAAUGAUUUUUUUUUUACUUUUCUCACUAAAGAAUUAUGUGAACUUUGCUGCAUCUCCUGCUGCUCGAGGCUUCAGUUACUUUCCUUGUAUAAUGAAUAAUUCGGAGUAGACAGAUAUUUCCUAAACUUCAGUCAUUUACAAAGCACUUAGAUGAUUUUUACCAUAUUCAUAUGACAUUAGACCAAUAAUUUUGUAGCACUUCUCUUUAUAUAAAUUCAAUUCUUUACUUAAAAAUGUAUUUUAGAAGACUUCUGCCUCUGGGAAAGAUGGAAUAAAAGGGAACAGAUUUACCCUCCCACCUAAAACAAAAUCAUGGACAAAAUAUAAGAACCAACAGUUUUCAAGACAUUGGGCAUCAGGCAAUGGAGGGCAGUGAUACCUGAGAGUGAGGAAACAAAUUGCCACUGCUUACCGCCUAGAGAGAGUUUCCAGGUGUGGUGGAGGGUGGGGAACCCCAGAAGAGCCUGGCAGCCUCCCUGAGUUGAAGAAAUGGAGUUGGGAAUCAGCGGGGCCCUAGGAGGCUGGAGUUCACAAGGCAGAGUACCGGAGAGGAAACAGCUGCACAGAGAGAAGACUCUGGAGAUCUGCAGAGGCUUUCCCUUGAGUUUUCAGCUGAGGACCGAUCACUGCAAGCAUGUGAGGAAACCACUCAGGGUGGAGGACAGAACCAUCUGCAAAUAUCAGAGAGAACAAUCACACACAAAGGGCUGUGAAUAGCAUCUAUUCCCACCAGCAGACUUUAGAAUUCAGAGAGAUCAGAUGUGCAAAAUGGUAUUGCCUCGGUAUUGGGUCAAAAUAAGCCCAAGACUAAAAGCUGCCCUGGUCUCUCCUAACAAAGUAAAAGGAAGACCCAGAAGGAUCAAACUGUUUCCAAGUAACCUAACUGCAUCCCAGAACAAAGCUCAAGAAUAUUUAUUAGAAUACCAAAAUAGCCAGCACCCAGUAAGAUAAAAUUCACAAUUUAUGGCACCCAAUCAAAAAUUACCAGUCAUGCAAAGAGCAUGAUGGGAGAAAAAUCAAUGAAAACUGAUCCAGA